rnacentral:rRNA from 1 species
GAUGAACGCUGGCGGCGUGCCUAAUACAUGCAAGUCGAGCGAACAGACGAGGAGCUUGCUCCUCUGACGUUAGCGGCGGACGGGUGAGUAACACGUGGAUAACCUACCUAUAAGACUGGGAUAACUUCGGGAAACCGGAGCUAAUACCGGAUAAUAUAUUGAACCGCAUUGUUCAAUAGUGAAAGACGGUUUUGCUGUCACUUAUAGAUUGAUCCGCGCCGCAUUAGCUAGUUGGUAAGGUAACGGCUUACCAAGGCAACGAUGCGUAGACGACCUGAGAGGGUGAUCGGCCACACUGGAACUGAGACACAGUCCAGACUCCUACGGGAGGCAGCAGUAGGGAAUCUUCCGCGAUGGACGAAAGCCUGACGGAGCAAAGCCGCCGGAAGGAUGAAGGUCCUCGGAUCGUAAAACUCUGUUAUUAGGAAAGAACAAAUGUGUAAGUAACUAUGAACGUAUUGACGGUACCUAAUCAGAAAGCCACGGCUAACUACGUG